rfam:Picea glauca, whole genome shotgun sequence.
UCACAUGAUUGUAUUAAUAACAUAUCUUUUAAAAUAUUUUACAUUAUUAUAUGAACAAUGUACCUCUUCAAAUAUUUCAUUGGGGUUUAAAAAUGCUUGUGCAUGCUUUCUAGUUCAUGAGAAACUCUUGUUUCAAAGUUUCUAGUCCCCAUUCUAUGCCUUUUUAUUCUUUUCCUUUUCAAGUUAUGUAACGCAUUUAGAUAACCACACUACUUUCCUACUUAUUUUACUAUAUCAAAGAUGAUCAAUUUAAAAAAAAUAAAAAUAAAAAUUGUUGGGAGCAUUUCUCUAACCCCAAUUAUCAUUGUUUUUUUUUUAUUAUAAACAUAGAUAAAAAUUUUAUUAGAAAAAGUUGCAUCUAAGAUUGACGAUGAGAUAAUAUAAAAGAGAGUGUUGUAUUUUAAGAAUACCAACAAUUCUAAUAGAUAGUAUAUUUUAUAAAUAUAUAAUUCUAAGUCAUACUUUGCUAGUGAUUUUAAAUAGCUAGUGCCAGUGUAAACUCUGUUAAAGACUUCCAAGAUAAAUGUUAUUCUACAUAACAUGAAAAAAUAAUGAAAAACAUGUUUAUGAGCUUCAUCUUGUCUAAUGUUGGUGGAAUGAGAUUCUUGGAUACCCAAGUCCAUAUCAUCCAUCAUUUGGUGUAUUCUUUCUUCUUCUUUGAUGUAUUUCGAUGUUGAAUUCACUUACAUUUUGAAAUUGGAGGCUAUAGAAGCACGUGACCUAUACUUGACCUUCAGAGAAAUUUCCAGGAUUCAAUGAGUAGGAGGAUGUGGGGGUCAUUGACAAACCUUAGGCGUGAGCCUGGGUGGACUGGCCUUCGGUGUAGAUCUUGGUGGUAGUAGAAAAUAUUCAAAUGAGAACUUUGAAGACUGAAGUGGAGAAAGGUUCCAUUUGAACAACACUUGGACAUGGGUUAGUCGAUACUAAGAGAUGGGGAAGCCAUGUAUCAAGGGUGCACUUUGCAUGAACAUCGAAAGGGAAUCGGGUUAAUAUUCCUGAACCGAGACAUGGCAGUGGACAAUAGCAUUAGGAAAUCCAGAGAUGUCGUCGAGGCCUCGGGAAGAAUUUUCUUUUCUUUUUAACAACUUUCCCACCCUGAAAUGGAUUCAACUGAAGAUACGAUCCAACAGCUCGAAGAGCAUCGCACAUCUUGCGGUGUUUGUUGCACCCUCAACGACCCUUGAAAAGGAUUGAGUACCAUCCAUACCCGGUCGUACUCAUAACCGCAUCAGGUCUCCAAGGUGAACAACUUCUGGUCAAUAGAACAAUGUCGAUAAGGGAAGUCAACAAAACACAUCCGUAACUUCGAGAAAAGGAUUGCCUUUGAGGGCUGGGCCUAGGGUUCUGCGUCCUCAACCCAUGGGUUUUUUAUAGUCUACCUGAUAUGUUAUCACAGUGAGGGCAGGCAGUCGCGUGCCAAUUGGGCUAUGGAUGUAGAAUGUCCCCCCAUGGGGGAUUUUCUCUACUCAACGAAUAGUCGACUCAAAACUGGUAUGGAAAAGGGGAAUCUAACUGUUUAAUUAAAACAAAGCAUUUUUAUUGUCCCUACGGAUGCUGACGCAAUGUGAUUUAUGCCUAGUGCUCUGAAUGUCAAAGUGAAGAAAUUCGAAUCUGACUGACCUAACCAUCGGUUGUUGAAAUUUUCCUUUGGCCAAAUCCAACACUUAGAAAAUUUCGACUAAACUCCCGAUGAGUUUGGAUCAUUGAUCUCCCAUUGAGAAAUGAUCUUGGUCUUCGAUCUAUGAACUUCUUCCAACUCUGUCGAAGCCCGACCAUCGACCAUCAAUCGU